CACAUGCAAGUCGAGCGGUAGAGAGAAGCUUGCUUCUCUUGAGAGCGGCGGACGGGUGAGUAAUGCCUAGGAAUCUGCCUGGUAGUGGGGGAUAACGCUCGGAAACGGACGCUAAUACCGCAUACGUCCUACGGGAGAAAGCAGGGGACCUUCGGGCCUUGCGCUAUCAGAUGAGCCUAGGUCGGAUUAGCUAGUUGGUGAGGUAAUGGCUCACCAAGGCGACGAUCCGUAACUGGUCUGAGAGGAUGAUCAGUCACACUGGAACUGAGACACGGUCCAGACUCCUACGGGAGGCAGCAGUGGGGAAUAUUGGACAAUGGGCGAAAGCCUGAUCCAGCCAUGCCGCGUGUGUGAAGAAGGUCUUCGGAUUGUAAAGCACUUUAAGUUGGGAGGAAGGGCAUUAACCUAAUACGUUAGUGUUUUGACGUUACCCGACAGAAUAAGCACCGGCUAACUCUGUGCCAGCAGCCGCGGUAAUACAGAGGGUGCAAGCGUUAAUCGGAAUUACUGGGCGUAAAGCGCGCGUA
rnacentral:rRNA from 1 species